CUCUGUUUCCACCUUGAUGCAUGGAGAGCUGGAGAGCAGCUGGAGCAGAGAAGGCACUGCAAUGAGGCGGCAACCCGUGCUGGCCAGGGGCCCCAGGGCCCAGAGCCAGGUGGGGUGGACCCCGAGGCCCUGUCUUUCCACAGGUGUCCAGGGUCACUCCCACCCCACCCUUGGCCUCCUGCUGGCUCAGCCCCACACCCCCACCAAAGGGCCAGGCUCCGGGUGAGUGAUCCUCAGGGCCCCCGCACAGGCUGUUCCCUCUGCACACAGGCUAUCCCUGCCUUCCUGUCCAGCCAGUGGGUGGGGAGAAGCGAGUCCCUCCUUUCAGGGAUUCUCAGGAACCGAGUGGCUAUCAGGGUAUGCAGCUGUGAUGCACGUGGCAGGAGAAGACCUCAGACGCCACAGCCUAGCUCUCUGUGGGGCAAGUGUGUCUCAGCCUCUCUCUGAGGAGAGGAGAGCCCCUGGACUGGAGGGUGCCCUGCUCAGCUCUGCCUGGGUAUUCUGUGGCUUGCAGGGUGGAAGGUGAAGGGCUGCAGGCGCUGGCCUUCCCAGGCCCCCCACUGUCUGCCCAGCUUUUCCUUCUUUGGCAGCCCCAGUUCCUUCCUUAUACCCAGUGGGACAGCAGGGCCCAGCCCUAGGGGCCGCAGGAGACAGACAUGCCCCAACUGAGACAGACAAUGGCCAGCAUGGCAGGUGGCCCAGUCUCGGCCACCAGGACGUCCUAGGAGGUACGGCCCCUCAGCUAAGCUGGCUGUCCUUAGUGGCCCAGCUCUGGCUCUGGCUGGUCCUGUGAACUCAAGAUGGCAGACACUGUUCCUGGUCUCAGGCCAGGUCUUGGGUGAAGAACGUUGGGUGUAGGACCCUGUACCUCUCCUCCUGGAACACCCCCAGUGGAUGGCGAGGUCACUGAGGCUCCAUCCAACGGGCAGCCUCCAGGGCAGCCCUCGCUCCUCCCUUGCCCUGGAGGUGGGCACGGGUCAGUGGAAGGAUGGGACUGAGGGGCUGGGCCCUUCACCGACCCUGGAAGGUGGCUCCCUGUGGCCUUCCCUGCAGUUUCCUGGUCCACUGUGGUUCAGCCUAAGACACAGGUGAAGGCCUGGUUAUCACUUGGCUGCUUUUGCCAAAAGAGUGGCUUCCAGUGAAAUCCUUUGGCUGCCGAAAGGCAAAGUCACCCUCCCUCCCUGUGGCCCCAACACCUGCAGGGUUUGUCAGCAGAAGGUUUUCACGGUCCACUGGGCAUUCGCGGGCCUUUGGCAUCCUCGAGGGCCUGCCUUUGAUUAGCACACACCCUUUGCUUGACCCAGAGGGUCCAGAUGGCACUGGCUCCACGGCAUGGCCUUGAGAAUUGAGGCCGGCUUCGGCGAGGAUGGUCCCACCUACUCUGGCCUUCAGGCCUUCACCAGGAGAGAUUCAGGCUGCUGGCCCAGCCAGUCUCUGCAGGGACACCCCGGUGGGCCCAGGGAGGGACUGGGGUCAGCUGGGGCCCUGGACUUACAGUGGAUCCCACUUCCCCCACGUCUUGCUUGGUUCUGGGCAUAAGGGUCCUAGUUCUUAGGGCCUGGCCUGGCCCUCUCACUGCUCCCGGGAAACCUCGGGAAACAUGGCAGGCUGUGUUCCCCAUCCUCAGGCUCCCAAGUCGCUUCUGUCCAGUCCUCUGCUGGUAUCUGUGACUCAGCACCAUGACGGGGCCCUGUCCAGGGCGUCCUGGGCAGAAGGCUGCUCCGAGUGCACAGCGGGCACCCCCAUGGACAGGCUGCGUCCAUGUGCCACUCCUUGGCCGCCCUCUCUUCAUCUGUAGUGAUGACACAGUGACCCCCACCUGCAGGCCUGGUGGCACUGCUGUCACCAGGCACAGGGAGCCUGCCCCCAACCUGGGUGGUGUUGUGGGAGUGGCUGGGCAAGGAACGCUGCUAUCCCUGCUGAGCUGGGUGGGCACUGAUGGGCAUGGGGACCUGGAGUGCUGACCCCUAGCCCUACUGUCGGCAGGCCACGCCUGCCCCUCUGGGGAACUGCUGUGUCCCCCUUGGCUGGCCUAGAAGUGCCUAGAAAUGUCUUUUAUGUGGGGAGUCGGUGGGUGAGG
rnacentral:lncRNA from 1 species